CCUACGGGUGGCUGCAGUGAGGAAUAUUGGUCAAUGGACGAGAGUCUGAACCAGCCAAGUAGCGUGAAGGAUGACUGCCCUAUGGGUUGUAAACUUCUUUUAUAAAGGAAUAAAACGAGGCACGUGUGCCUUUUUGUAUGUACUUUAUGAAUAAGGAUCGGCUAACUCCGUGCCAGCAGCCGCGGUAAUACGGAGGAUCCGAGCGUUAUCCGGAUUUAUUGGGGUUAAAGGGAGCGUAGAUGGGUUGUUAAGUCAGUUGUGAAAGUUUGCGGCUCAACCGUAAAAUUGCAAUUGAUACUGGCAGUCUUGAGUACAGUUGAGGUAGGCGGAAUUCGUGGUGUAGCGGUGAAAUGCUUAGAUAUCACGAAGAACCCCGAUUGCGAAGGCAGCUUACCAAGCUGUGACUGACAUUGAUGCUCGAAAGUGUGGGUAUCAAACAGGAUUAGAUACCCUUGUAGUC
rnacentral:rRNA from 1 species